rnacentral:rRNA from 1 species
GUCUACACCCAUGGCACCCUGAACAACUCGAUCCCAUCUGAUCUCGGAAGCUAAGCAGGGUCGGGCCUGGUUAAUACCUGGAUGGGAGACCACCUAAGAAGACCAGGCGCUAUAGGCG